GACGAACGCUGGCGGCAUGCCUAAUACAUGCAAGUAGAACGCAGUUGCGAACGGGUGAGUAACGCGUAUGUAACUGCCUCAUAGCGGGGGAUAACUAUUGGAAACGAUAGCUAAUACCGCAUACUGUGAGAUGGACCUGCGGUGUAUUAGCUAGUUGGGUAGGUAAAGGCUCAACAAGGCGACGGUACAUAGCCGACCUGAGGGGGUGAUCGGCCAAAAUGGGACUUGGACACGGCCCAGACUCCUACGGGAGGCAGCAGUAGGGAAUCUUCGGAAAUGGACGGAAGUCUGACCGAGCACAUGCGCGGGAGGGAAGAAGGUUUUCGGAUCGGAAAGCUCUGUUGAGAGAGAAGCGGUAACUAAACAGAAAGGGACGGCUAACUACGUGCCAGCAGCCGCGGUAAUUC
rnacentral:rRNA from 1 species